AGCGCAGGCGGUGCGGCAAGUCUGAUGUGAAAGCCCGGGGCUCAACCCCGGUACUGCAUUGGAAACUGUCGUACUAGAGUGUCGGAGGGGUAAGCGGAAUUCCUAGUGUAGCGGUGAAAUGCGUAGAUAUUAGGAGGAACACCAGUGGCGAAGGCGGCUUACUGGACGAUAACUGACGCUGAGGCUCGAAAGCGGUGGGGAAGCAAACA
rnacentral:rRNA from 1 species